CCAGGAAACACAGAUGGUGGAUAAAGGGGUUGCAUACAAAAGACCAUAAACCUGUAGCAGCAGCUGGAGACCGAGAGCCGCUCAUUCUCUCAGGACUGCGCAGUCCCGCUCAUUCAAAGGAGCCUCUGUUCUCAUUAAUACCUUCGCUUCAACAUCUUUGUCCAAAGCUUCCUGCUCCACUUUGUCCUGCUUCCCCCCCCUCCCGCGAACUGAACUGCGGUCUCCCCCGUCAGUGCGCAGCUGCUGCUGGCACUCCCACAUCUGCUUGUUUCAGCUCGGCGGCCAUGAAGAGGACGCCGAGCCUCGGCUCACGGUGAAAGGCUGGAGACUCGGUCCGAGCAGCGACCUCCUUUAUGCGGCGAAGGCAGAUAAACUGCGCCAACACAGCGGGUAUGCUCAUGUUGAACAGCUUUCUCCCAGAAUGGAGGGAUAAGCGGAAGAAAAGGAAGAAGCCAUGAUCUCUUCGCACCCUUUUUAUGCUGCGGGACAGGUGGAACCUGAAGAUCUAUGCUGACCAGCGUUGUACGGGCUGGACUCGUCCCCAGAGCUGCUGACAUGGCACCAAACAGGACUCUGGGAGGACCCAACGACGGGGCAGGUUAUGUGUUAUCUUUGUUAAAAUUGCUGGAGCAGAUUAAUCUUCACAGAUCAGUUUCUGGCCAUUUGGUUAUCAGUGUUAUGUUUUCGCCCGCGCAUAAUGAAAAGCUCUGACGGCCGGCGAAAGAAUAGGAGCCAGGUCCCCUUUGGGGAUCUUGCUAGGACAGUUGGGUUGCGUCCCACUUUUCUGCUGCUUUGUGUUGUGUGUCCCUUCUCCAGUUGCACUGAUGAAAAAGCAGAUUUGGCCUCAACCAGAUCCCAUUGUGCCCCAGCUGGCGUUCCUCCACCUCCUUUGCUGCGCUGCCUUAUAGAACGUGGCGGAGACGUGUGCCGUGAUGCGUCCUCGAAGGAAAACCUUCAGCACUAGUGUGUCUCUCAACCGAGGGACGACUUCUGCUUCUGUUCGUCAGCCAAAAGAAAUGAGCUAUCGCUUUGCCGCCAUUGUCCGUUUAAUCACGUGUGGCUGCUGGAAGGGACUUCAUUCAGAGCCGUCUGCUGCUCUGUUACAGCUAUUUUAUAGCUUAAUUCAGUCCUUCUCCUGUUUCUAUUUCUGUUGACUAGAUGCAUAGAAACCUGUACUGUAAAUCAACUCCACCUGAGUUACAUUUUUUUUUUUUUUUUUUUGCAAUUGAUCGUUUCUCCCAAGCGUUCACCUGUUUAUGUAAUGUUACCGUCUGUGUCUGUUUGUGAAAACUGGCCUGCAGUGUUUCCAGAUCCAAAUCUAUGAGGGGUUUAUAUUUGAGGCUUGUACGAACAAAAAUAUUAUGUGCUGGUGUGUGAAAAUGACGGAUGUUCUCACCUUCUGAUAAUGUGUAAAUCACACAUUUGUGCUUGUUGAGAAACCUCCCGAGCUCAACGCGAAACCAGCUAUUUUUACUGUACUAUUCUGCAGUUAAACUGUAGGGUGUGUGUGUGUGUGGGAUGAAUGCGUGUGUGUGUGUGUGUGGGAGAGUGCAUGUGUUUCUCUGCAUGCGCUCCAUCUGUGUUAGUGGCAGUACCUGUGCACGUGUGUCUCAUCAGUCCGAUAAGACGUGUCUGUAAUGGGCCUGAAAUUGCCGCUACAAUCCUUUUUAGCCACUGGAUGUGCCAGAUAAGGGAUAAAACAUUGUUUACUGAUGAUUCUUAGCAUUUGUUACAGCCCCAUUUAAAAAAACAAACAAAAACAAAACAAAAAAAACAAA